CUGCGGAGGGUCCAAGCGUUAUCCGGAUUCAUUGGGUUUAAAGGGUCCGCAGGCGGGAAAAUAAGUCAGUGGUGAAAGCCUACAGCUCAACUGUAGAAGUGCCAUUGAAACUGUUUUUCUUGAGUAUAGAUGAAGUGGGCGGAAUAUAUCAUGUAGCGGUGAAAUGCAUAGAUAUGAUAUAGAACACCGAUUGCGAAGGCAGCUCACUAAACUAUUACUGACGCUCAGGGACGAAAGCGUGGGGAGCGAACAGGAUUAGAAACCCUAGUAGUCC
rnacentral:rRNA from 1 species